rnacentral:rRNA from 1 species
AUACGGAGGGUGCAAGCGUUAUUCGGAAUCACUGGGCGUAAAGGACACGUAGGCGGGAAGCCAAGUCUGAUGUGAAAUCCUAUGGCUUAACCAUAGAACUGCAUUGGAAACUGGUUACCUAGAGUAUGGGAGGGGGAGAUGGAAUUAGUGGUGUAGGGGUAAAAUCCGUAGAUAUCACUAGGAAUACCUAAAGCGAAGGCGAUCUCCUGGAACAUUACUGACGCUAAGGUGUGAAAGCGUGGGGAGCAAACGGGAUUAGAAACCCUAGUAGUCC